GAUGAACGCUGGCGGCGUGCCUAAUACAUGCAAGUCGAGCGAACAGACGCGGAGCUUGCUCCUCUGACGUUAGCGGCGGACGGGUGAGUAACACGUGGAUAACCUACCUAUAAGACUGGGAUAACUUCGGGAAACCGGAGCUAAUACCGGAUAAUCUAUUGCACCGCAUGGUUCAAUAGUGAAAGACGGUUUUGCUGUCACUUAUAGAUGCAUCCGCGCGGCAUUAGCUAGUUGGUAAGGUAACGGCUUACCAAGGCAACGAUGCGUAGCCGACCUGAUAGGGUGAUCGGCCACACUGGAACGGAGACACGGUCCAGACUCCUACGGGAGGCAGCAGUAGGGAAUCGUCCGCAAUGGGCGAAAGCCUGACGGAGCAACGCCGCGUGAGUGAUGAAGGUCUUCGGAUCGUAAAACUCUGUUAUUAGGGAAGAACAGAUGUGUAAGUAACUAUGCACGUCUUGACGGUACCGAAUCAGAAAGCCACGGCUAACUACGUG
rnacentral:rRNA from 1 species